GCCAGUGGCCUCCCCUGUCUGGGUUUGUUUCCUUACGUGUAAAAUGGCAGACGGGUGGGCUGGCUUGUUCUACUGUACCAUGCUGUGAGGCCUUCUCCCCUCCCAUGGAGCAGGCCCUUGCCUCCCGACCACCACCAGGACACUUCCCAGUAUCUGCCAGGUGGCUGGAAUUGACACCAGAGCAAGUGUCCCUGGGUGCCCCAUGAGAGCGAAGCUGGCAGCUCAAGGGGCCUGCCCCGAGCUUUGGGGAACAGUAACAAAACGCAAAGAGGCAGGAACCUGGGCAGACCUGGGCAGGAACCAUUCCUCUUCUCAGAAGGGUUCUUUCCGAUCCAGCCCUGUCUGGAGGCCCAGGCCUCAGCCUGUUCCGCCCUGCCCAUGCCCACCACCAGGGGGCAGAAAGGGGAGGUCUGGAGGGUGGGGGGUGACAAGCCAUUGACCAGCUCCAAACCUCAGAAUUCUUUUUUAAAUGAGGUAAAAACAGUAUCUUCGUAUUCUCCAUUGUAAAAUGGAUCAUUUUAGUACCUCGGAUGAUGAAAUGAGUUAAUGCUUGUCAGGUGCCUAGCACGUGCCUGGUGUAGGAAGCACUCAGUAAAUAUUAGAUCACAUCAUUGCGGGAGGGCUGCCUGCUGGGAAGACCGCACAAUUUGAAGGCCUCUGACAUUGAACAGGCUGGUUCGAGUAGGGCCCCUGUGUGCCUAACACACACUCAAUCACAGGAGUGGAGAAUGGUGAAAGGCUGCUGGGGAGGUUGAUGUCGUUGAGUCCCUAAGGUGUACAGGGAAAGGACAAGUGUUCAUACAUCCACACAUUCUGGACACUGCAACGAAUUAUAGCCUUCACCCCAAGGCCCCAUCCAGUUCCUAAGGAGACGUGGUGUGAGGACAAGACGCGAACUCUUCAGGCUAGAGAAAAACAAGCUACUUUUGCCUGGCCGAGCGGGAAACUGAGGUCUGACAAGGUUACCAGUCUCGCCUGUGAGUGUCAGAACCAAGACGAGAACCCAAGUGUUCCAGUCAUCUGUUGCUGGAUAACAAUGGAUUCGAAAAGAACCUGAAAGGACCUGACACAUGACUCAUGGGGAGUCAGCCACCUGAAGGAGACUGGAUUGGGUUCCUCCUCGCAGGCCCAGCAUCAGCACCGGGCCUUUCCCAGAAGAGCUCGGUCAACAGGAGUCCACAUGCCUGGGCCUUGAACAAAGGAAGAGUCCUACUUUUCCAGGACCGGCAGCAGCAGCAUCACCAGGGAAUGUGUUUGGGAAGACAGACCUGCCCCUCCCCCCAUCCUGA